rnacentral:rRNA from 1 species
CUAAGGGUCUGUAGCCGGCCAGGUAAGUCUCUUGGGAAAUCUGGCAGCUUAACUGUGAGGCUGCUAGGGGAUACUGCUGGGCUUGGGACCGGGAGAGGUGAGAGGUACCUUGGGGGUAGGGGUGAAAUCUUGUGAUCCUCGGGGGACCACCAGGGGCAAAGGCGUCUCAUCGAAACGGGCCCAACGGGAAGGAACAAAAGCUAGGGACACGAACCGAAUUAAAUACCCGGGUAGUCCUAGCCGUAAACAAUGCUCGCUGGGUGUCAGUCACGGUGCGACCGUGAUUGGUGCCGUAGGGAAGCCGUGAAGCCAGCCACCGGGGAAGUAUGGCCGCAAGGCUGAAACUUAAAGGAAUUGG